CUACGGGUGGCUGCAGUAGGGAAUUUUGCGCAAUGGGCGAAAGCCUGACGCAGCGACGCCGCGUGAGUGAUGAAGGGUUUCGGCUCGUAAAGCUCUGUCAGAUAGGAAGAAAUGUUAUAUGGUUAAUACCCAUAUAGCUUGACGGUACUAUCAAAGGAAGCACCGGCUAACUCCGUGCCAGCAGCCGCGGUAAUACGGAGGGUGCUAACGUUGUUCGGAAUUACUGGGCGUAAAGAGAAUGUAGGUGGAACAGUAAGUCAGAAGUGAAAGCCUGAGGCUCAACCUCAGAAGUGCUUUUGAAACUGCUGAUCUAGAGUACCGGAGAGGGAUGUGGAAUUCCUGGUGUAGGGGUGAAAUCCGUAGAUAUCAGGAGGAACACCGGUGGCGAAGGCGACAUCCUGGCCGAGUACUGACACUGAGAUUCGAAAGCGUGGGGAGCAAACAGGAUUAGAUACCCGUGUAGUC
rnacentral:rRNA from 1 species